GGGAGGCGACGCCCGCCCGCCCGCAGCCUCCCCUUGCCUUCCCCGGGGCCAAGGCAGCCCGCAUCGCCGCCAAAACAUAACUCUCGCAACACAGCCGUCUCGGAUGCUUUCAUUUCGACCGUUAAAGUCUAUACCCCACCGCAUAUAUCUCGCCAGCAACAUCCCAAAUACUUAGAGGGAGAAUUAUCUUAUAAGCAGCUUGGCACCAUAUAGAAUAAAAAAUCUGGAAUAUAUGAAAAGAAAAUGUACAUGACUUGAAUUGAGAAUGCUUUGUGAAGGUGACAUCAAGACUCCAAUAAAUGGUAAACCUCAACACCUUUGAGUGAGUGAAGUGUAAAUAGUUCUUUGUUCACGCAUCUGAUUGUUUUGUAGCUUCUGUAGAAAAUGCAUAUGUAGACAUUCAGGCUCCAAAAAUCUCAAGUCUACCAGCAUCAGUGUCAUUUUGUUUAUUGUUUGCGGCCCAAUAAUUGAUGCAUCUCUGGCAUUUGUCUGGCUCAUGGGGACAAAAAAUAAAAUGCUCACCAAGACCAAGAUAUCCAUGACUCUUGAGAUUAUUACAC